GAAAGCCCUAUGAUGGGAAACUACCAUGUUAGGUUUGGAGAGAGAUGGGAACGGAACUUGUUUAGAGGGAGCAGAUGGUUGCUUUUUCUUUCAAUAGCCGGAAAAAUGACUACUGGAUCAUCGGUCUACUCUAC
rnacentral:ncRNA from 1 species